UACGAAGGGGGCUAGCGUUGCUCGGAAUCACUGGGCGUAAAGGGUGCGUAGGCGGGUCUUUAAGUCAGGGGUGAAAUCCUGGAGCUCAACUCCAGAACUGCCUUUGAUACUGAAGAUCUUGAGUUCGGGAGAGGUGAGUGGAACUGCGAGUGUAGAGGUGAAAUUCGUAGAUAUUCGCAAGAACACCAGUGGCGAAGGCGGCUCACUGGCCCGGUACUGACGCUGAGGCGCGAAAGCCAGGGGAGCGAACGGG
rnacentral:rRNA from 1 species